rnacentral:tRNA from 1 species
GGUCCCAUAGCUCAGUUGGUCAGAGCAGCGGACUCAUAAUCCGUGGGUCGUAGGUUCAAGCCCUACUGGGACCA